ACCUGGUCGAUCCUGCCAGUAGUCAUAUGCUUGUCUCAAAGACUAAGCCAUGCACGUGUCAGUUUAAAUUUUAACCUGGUGAAACUGCGAAUGGCUCAUUACAACAGCAAUCGUAUCCAUGCGUGUUUGUGCUACUCGGAUACCUGUAGCAAUUCUAGAGCUAAUACGUGCCAACGGCGGGGCCUUACGGCGUCGCAGGGCUUAUUCGGUUCAAAAGCUGGCGCAUUGUCGGUGAUUCAGGAUAAUUUGGAGCGGGGCGAACCCGCGAGACCCGGACCUCACGCUCUCGCAGCGGAGGCGACGCAUUCUAGUUUCUGCCCUAUCAAGUAGUUGCGAAGGUCUUGUCUUCGCAAGCUUAUGACGGGUAACGGAAAAUUAGGGUUUGACUCCGGAGAGGGGGCUUGAGAAUUGGCCACCACAUCUAAGGAAGGCAGCAGGCGCGCAAAUUCCCCAAUCCGGACAUCGGGAGGGAGUGACAAGAAAUAUUGAAGGCGGGGCGCAAGCCUUGCUUAUCGGAAUGAGAACAACUUAAUGAACUUAUCGAGUAACAAUUGGAGGGCAAGUCUGGUGCCAGCAGCCGCGGUAAUUCCAGCUCCAAUAGUGUAUAUUAGAGUUGCUGCAGUUAAAAAGCUCGUAGUUGGAAUAGGGUUUUGAGAGCGGGGUGUGGGGGUGGGGUGUCAAAACCUCUCCCCCCCCUCUUUUCUCAUUGCCAAACUUUGGGGGGGCUCAGAGAUCCUUCUCUCCUCCCAAACAAUACUUUGAAUAAAUUAGAUUGUUCAAGGAAGGGCAGUUGCCUGGAAUAUCUUAGCAUGGAAUAACGGAACACGGCUUUUGGCGUCUUUCGUUGGCAUUUGGACGCAGUGAAAGCAAUGAUUAAUAGGACCGGAAGGGGGCGUGGGUAUUGCCGGGUCAGAGGUGAAAUUCUUGGAUUCCGGCACGACCAACUACUGCGAAGGCACUCGCCAAUCACGGCUUCAUUAAUCAAGAACGAAAGAUGAGGGAUCGAAGAUGAUUAGAUACCGUCGUAGUCUCAUCAGUAAACGAUGCCGUCUUAGUGUUUGCCGACCGGUCAAAUUCAAAAAAGCCGCGGCAAGCGCUCUCAGAGAAAUCAAAGAUUUUGGGUUCUGGGGGGAGUAUGGUUGCAAGGCUGAAACUUAAAGGAAUUGACGGAAGGGCACCACCAGGAGUGGAGUUUGCGGCUUAAUUUGACUCAACACGGGAAAACUUACCAGGUCCGGACAUCAAGAGGAUUGACAGAUUGAUAGCUCUUUCUUGAUUUGAUGAUUGGUGGUGCAUGGCCGUUCUUAGUUGGUGGUGUGAACUGUCUGCUCAAUUGCGAUAACGAACGAGACCGUCCUUUGAUGUUACGAGGUUUGGGUGGGGGGUCGGGGUGACCUGGUCUUCCGCAAACCCAGAGCUUGUCCCUUCAAAGACUACCGGGGAAAACCCGGGGGAAGCUGGCGGCGAUAACAGGUCUGUGAUGCCCUUAGAUGUUCUGGGCUGCACGCGCACUACAAUGCGGCUGGCAGCGAGUGAGAGGAAGGGGGCGAGUAACAUUGCUCUUUUUCUCCUGGGCCGAGAGGCUCGGGAAAUCUUGGAAACCGCCGCGUGUCUGGGCUAGAUGAUUGAAAUUGUUCAUCUUCAACGAGGAAUUCCUAGUAGGGGCGCUUCAUCAGAGCGCCCCGAUUAUGUCCCUGCCCUUUGUACACACCGCCCGUCGCUCCUACCGAUUGAACGCUCCGGUGAGGACUUGAGAUGGAACGAGGUCGGGAGACUGACCGCGGUCCAGAACUUGGACGAAUCUUAGCGUUUAGAGGAAGGAGAAGUCGUAACAAGGUUUCCGUUGGUGAACCAGCGGAAGGAUCAUUA
rnacentral:rRNA from 1 species